rnacentral:lncRNA from 1 species
UCAUGUGAGGCUUGCUCUGCAUCAUCUGAGUUUUUGAUUGCUUCCACUGGGUCUGAAUCAUCUUUCAAGCUUAUAGAUUCAUGAACUGUAGUUUCUUCACUAGAUUUUACAGGUUCGUUAUCAACUGUCUCAAGAAUGCUUUGGAUCUUGUCUGGUACUUCUUCUUCUUCUUCCUCAUUGGCUUUUACUACUUCAAUCUUUUUGGAUUCAGCAAGGGUCUCACCUUCAGGUGACGCAGAUGAAAGUUGUUCAUCUUGCAAAGGAGCCAGAUCAAGCAUCCUUUCUUCUUGGGCUCUUUCUUUAACCUCAAUACUUUCGGGUACUGGAACUGUCUCUGAUCCAUAACAACCUUCCUCUUGGUCUUCUUGAUGUGGUGCUACUUCUUCUUCUUCUUCCUCUUCUGGUUUUUCUUGGAUCUUCUCAUCUAAUAUUUUUCUUGUUUCCUCUGAUACUUUAGAAGGAGACUCAAGA